CGUAGCUCAUACUCUAAGCCUCUGUGUGAAUCCAAUCCAGAGGGAGCAUUUUGGGAGCAUUUCCUGUCUUUUGAACAGAAUGGAAGCCCUGAUUAAAUGGAAAGAGAUAUGUAGACACUCCCUCUACUGCGCCCAUUGUGGCCCAAUAGGAGGAAACAGAUUUGCCAUCAGUUUAAUAGCUCAAGGUACUCCUAUGGCAAGUCUGCAUUCUUGAUCAUUGCAACAUUCUUGUUCAUCCAGCAAGCUCCAGGUCUUUCCCUGCCAAUGCCUUGGGCCUUGUUCUCUGCUGCUGCUUUUCCGCAGACUCACAGCAUCACCUGGAACCUGCUGAGAGUGCCACCAAGAGAGGCAGCAGUGAGAACCCACUGGUUCACUCAGCGUUGCCUUUCUUUGAGUAAUACACCUUCAGGCCAGUGCCUUGUUUUGAUGUAUUACAAUGAUAGACUGAAG